UACGGAGGGUGCAAGCGUUGUCCGGAUUCACUGGGUGUAAAGGGCGCGUAGGCGGGCAGGUAAGUCAGUGGUGAAAUCUCCGGGCUUAACCCGGAAACUGCCGUUGAUACUAUCUGUCUUGAAUAUAGUGGAGGUGAGCGGAAUAUGUGAUGUAGCGGUGAAAUGCUUAGAGAUGUGGAGGAACACCGAUGGCGAAGGCAGCCUCCUGGGCCAACACUGACGCUCAUGCACGAAAGCGUGGGGAGCAAACAGG
rnacentral:rRNA from 1 species